UUUCCGUAGGUGAACCUGCGGAAGGAUCAUUACUGGAUCUUGAAACUUCAGGCUGCUGCUGGCUCUCCUCGGAGGGCAUGUGCACGCUUGUUGUCCAUUAUUUCUCCCACUGUGCACAAAUUGUAGACCUUUCAGUAGGCCUAUGUUGUUUUUCACAAUCUCUGAAUGUAAUAGAAUGGUUUUGAAUCUUGGGAAAUACAAUACAACUUUCAGCAACGGAUCUCUUGGCUCUC
rnacentral:misc_RNA from 1 species